AUUGAAAGAUUUAGUGCAUAAAGAUAGUAUCAUAGUUUUAAAAUCUUAUAAGGACAUUAACUCUAAUGAUUUGACAACAAGCAACCACUGAAAAUUUGGUUCCUAACAUAGACAGAUAUAAUGGCAUAUGGCAGCCUUAAAAUAUUUUAAAACAUCCUCUUUUAAAUCUCUAUCCUUGAAACACAGUUAUACGUAGAUCCUGCUCGGCAGUUUAGUUUUGCAAUUUUAGCUUUGCAAUUCCUUUAUUUUAAAAUUCAAAAAAAAAAAAAAAAUAACUGAAGGAUUCCAUCCCAUUUUUCAGAUCGUGUUACGUCAAAGUAAUAAAGAAUGUUUGUGAACACAUUUUCAUUGAAGCAAACAAUGAACAAAGAACACCAAGAGCGCCCUGAAUCAAAUAAUAAUAACGAAUGCAAAAAUCACGCAAGUCGAAGUGCAGCUCAAGUUGUCAUUCGGCAAGGUAGUUGUUACAAACAAGGACAAGAUCUACCGAAAUUGCACGAUCAAGGUACACAAACUGCAGAUCUUGAGGAAUUUGAUGAAAAAGAUGAUGAACAGAUUGAAAAACAAGAUGGCAACAUAAACUGUAUUGAAGGAGGCACUUGUAGUAACGGAUCAGAUAAUAAAGCAGACCCUGGAAAUGCUAAAGACGAAACUAAGAGAACCUAUGAACAAGUAUCCGGAGAAACCAGAUGUUGUCUGGUUGAAGAUGUAACUGAUCAGAGAGAAUCACCGACUCCAUUUUUUGGGAGUGUUAUACAGUUGAUUCAGAUGUUGGUUAAUUUGUUUGGAAGUCGUGAUGAACUAGAGUUUGGAUUAUAUAAAGACGCUUAUAAUGAUUGUCUUCAGAUUGAUUGGAAACCAUGGAUAGAGUUUGGAAAUUAAGAAAAUAUUUUCACAGAUAUUUUAGACAAAAAAGAGUCUUGUCUUAAAAAGUGUAUCCUUAUACUUCCAGAAUGGAUAUCUUAUAUAUGGAAAGAAAAACUGAUCUUUCAACGCAAAUAUGAUGUCGCAUCGGGUGGAAUUGGAAUAGUUCAAUGUGACGGAAUUACUGAUGGUGUAUGUUCUUUGACUUUAGCAAGAAAAACGAAGUUCCUGUUUGAAGUCAGCCUCAUAAUAAUAAAGAAACAAGUCGGCAAGAAGAGGGGUACAAUUCUGUAUCAAUUUAGAUAAAGUCUGUGACAGAUUCAGUUUUGUGAACUGAUCUUUUUGUUUUUGUUCCACCUUUUGCACUCGCAAUAUUUGAUUUGAAAACACACAUGUACAUUGACCACAAAUAUAUAAAAAUUCGAACCAUAGUUAUUAAAAUUUGAAAAUAAAUAUUUUGAAAAAUUAACAGCAAAAAGUGAGAAAAGCUGGAGUCGGAUUGUUUCAAACGUUAAAUUACUCUGCAAAUUUUAGAACCAUUGAUUUUGUUACGCAAAAUUUUCAUACCACCAAAUCUGACCUGUACAAUAAAAUUGGUACAAUAGCUGUGACAAAGACAUUUAGUAAGAACAUUCAACAGAUAGGUAAUUGAUUCUUCUCUUUCUAAGAUAAAAUACAUAUUUAUUUCCCGGUCGAGUAUUUUAUAUUUUUCAAAAUCACUCAAUGUUACCGAAAAAUAUUUCCACAAAAUUAUAAUAUUUUUACAAUCUGUACUUCAAUAUCAUUGAUGGAGGUAGUUAAAUGUCCCAUCUAAAUAAUACGCCUUUUAUCAAAAAAAUUAGAUUCCGAAGAAGAAAUGGAGAAACGAAGAAGUACAAGCACUACUGAGGUUGCAAAAGAAGGGAUUUGUUCCCAUGGUGUAUGGAGUACUAGCACACGAUGACAACUUAGCAUUGUUAUUGGAAAUGAUAGAUGGGGUUGUGUUGACUGCUUACAGAGGAAACUUGUAUGAUAAAAUACAAUUGUUCCACUCAUUGGUUGCAAAAGUAUGCCAGUUGCACAAGGAAGACAUAUUCCAUCAAGAUUUGAAAUAUGGAAAAUAUCAUAUGACCUAUUACUGCAUGUCUCGGUCCUCCAGAUCUUGAACAGAGCAUGCUAAACAGAUAUCUACCUGUGAAGUUUGAUGAACAGGUAAAACGUCUUCUUGUUGCAUGGGACAGCUGGCAGCUUGGUAUGAUACUUUUCAAUUUACUGACCAGAAAGAACCUACACAUAAUUGGCAAAGUCACUCAGGACAAUCUAAACUUUACCAGAGAGAAAAUGAAACAAUAUGUUAAUCGCCAGUUGUCGGACAAAGUUGAUAAAGUACCACCAAACAUACUCACAACAUUGAUAGGUCUUCUUGACGUUGACUACAGGAAGAGAUUAACACCAGAACUCGUACUAUAUGAAUUGAACAAGGAUGUUACUUUUACAGAGUAUUAUAUGAACGGUUGUACAGUGCCAUGUUAGAGUGCUAAAUUGAAACAAAUGCAAUUGCACACAGAUUUUUGAAAGAAGAUAAAGCUACUAAUUCUAAACAUAGUAAAUGUGUUCUUAUAAAAAGAUAGGUGCUCUAUCUAUUUAUGUAUAUAAUUAUAGGUGCUCUAUUGCAUGUAUCCAUUUAUGUAUAUAAUUAUAUAUAUGUAUCUAUAAACUAAAUGACGUUAUAACUGUCAA